UUUAAGGGAGCUCAAGGUCACAAGUAA
rnacentral:piRNA from 1 species